GAUGAACGCUGACAGAAUGCUUAACACAUGCAAGUCUUUGGCGAAGCUGUGCUUGCACAGCCUAGCCAAGGCGGACGGGUGAGUAACGCGUAAGGAACUUGCCCUGCAGUCAGGGAUAACAGACGGAAACGACUGAUAAGACCUGGUAAAGUCAGGCGGACUCAUGUCCAGCCUGAUGAAAAGUGAUGCUGCAGGAGAGCCUUGCGUCCUAUUAGCUUGUUGGUGGGGUAACGGCCCACCAAGGCGAUGAUAGGUAGCCGGCCUGAGAGGGUGGACGGCCACAAGGGGACUGAGAUACGGCCCUUACGCCUACGGGAGGCAGCAGUGGGGAAUAUUGGAAAAUGGGGGCAACCCUGAUCCAGCAAUUCUGUGUGCACGAUGAAGGUUUUCGGAGUGUAAAGUGCUUUCAGCAGGGAAGAAAAAAAUGACGGUACCUGCAGAAGAAGCGACGGCUAAAUACGUG
rnacentral:rRNA from 1 species